GACGAACGCUGGCGGCGUGCUUAACACAUGCAAGUCGAACGGAAAGGCCCCUUUGGGGGUCCUCGAGUGGCGAACGGGUGAGUAACACGUGAGUAACCUGCCCUUGACUUCGGGAUAACUUCAGGAAACUGGGGCUAAUACCGGAUAGGAAUCCUUGCUGCAUGGUGGGGGUUGGAAAGCUUCGGCGGUUUUGGAUGGACUCGCGGCUUAUCAGCUUGUUGGUGGGGUAGUGGCUUACCAAGGCUUUGACGGGUAGCCGGCCUGAGAGGGCGACCGGCCAUAUUGGGACUGAGAUACGGCCCAGACUCCUACGGGAGGCAGCAGUGGGGAAUAUUGCACAAUGGGCGGAAGCCUGAUGCAGCAACGCCGCGUGCGGGAUGACGGCCUUCGGGUUGUAAACCGCUUUCAGCAGGGGCGAAGCUUGUGGUGACGGUACCUGCAGAAGAAGCACCGGCUAACUACGUG
rnacentral:rRNA from 1 species